UACGUAGGGUGCGAGCGUUGUCCGGAAUUAUUGGGCGUAAAGGGCUCGUAGGCGGUUUGUCGCGUCGGGAGUGAAAUCCACUGGCUUAACUGGUGGCUUGCUUUCGAUACGGGCAGACUGGAGGUAUGCAGGGGAGAACGGAAUUCCUGGUGUAGCGGUGAAAUGCGCAGAGUAUCAGGAGGAACACCGGUGGCGAAGGCGGAUCUCUGGGCCUUACCUGACGCUGAGGAGCGAAAGCAUGGGGAGCGAACAGG
rnacentral:rRNA from 1 species